rnacentral:rRNA from 1 species
GCGAACGGGGAGCAGCCCAGAGUCUUAAUCAAUGGCAGUGUCAGGAGAACGGUCUGGAAAGUCCGGCAGUAAAGGGUGAUAGCCCCGUAUCUGAAGAUGCUGUUAUUGUGAACUCGACGAGUAGGGCGGGACACGUGUUAUCCUGUCUGAAUAUGGGGGGACCAUCCUCCAAGGCUAAAUACUCCUGAUUGACCGAUAGUGAACCAGUACCGUGAGGGAAAGGCGAAAAGAACCCCGGCGAGGGGAGUGAAAAAGAACCUGAAACCGUGUACGUACAAGCAGUAGGAGCCUCUUUAUGGGGUGACUGCGUACCUUUUGUAUAAUGGGUCAGCGACUUAUAUUCUGUAGCAAGGUUAACCGCAUAGGGGAGCCGUAGGGAAACCGAGUCUUAACUGGGCGAAUGAGUUGCAGGGUAUAGACCCGAAACCCGGUGAUCUAUCCAUGGGCAGGUUGAAGGUUGGGUAACACUAACUGGAGGACCGAACCGACUAAUGUUGAAAAAUUAGCGGAUGACUUGUGGAUGGGGGUGAAAGGCCAAUCAAACCGGGAGAUAGCUGGUUCUCCCCGAAAGCUAUUUAGGUAGCGCCUCGUGAACUCAUCUUCGGGGGUAGAGCACUGUUUCGACUAGGGGGUCAUCCCGACUUACCAACUCGAUGCAAACUGCGAAUACCGAAGAAUGUUAUCACGGGAGACACACGGCGGG